rnacentral:lncRNA from 1 species
CCGGUCACUCUUUGGUCCAAGAUUUGCAACGCUGGUCACAAGGUGGAAUUCCAUUGUCAGUGGACGAUAGGUUCUGGAGAUUCCAUAAAUGUUUAUAGUAACCCAUGGAUCUCUACAUAUCCUUUAAAAUUUUGGCCUACUUUCAUUAACAUACAAGAGCUAGCUCCUGAUGUUAAGGUUGCAGAAUUAAUAGAUGACUCUCGAGAUUGGAACGUUCGGUGAUUGACUAACUUAUUUUCGGAAGAUUUAAUUCAUCAAAUCCUUACUAUUCCGAUUCCAAAUUUUAAUCGUUC